rnacentral:rRNA from 1 species
UGAGGAAUAUUGGUCAAUGGGCGAGAGCCUGAACCAGCCAAGUAGCGUGCAGGAUGACGGCCCUAUGGGUUGUAAACUGCUUUUAUGUGGGGAUAAAGUGCGUGACGUGUCAUGCAUUGCAGGUACCACAUGAAUAAGGACCGGCUAAUUCCGUGCCAGCAGCCGCGGUAAUACGGAAGGUCCGGGCGUUAUCCGGAUUUAUUGGGUUUAAAGGGAGCGUAGGCUGUCUAUUAAGCGUGUUGUGAAAUUUACCGGCUCAACCGGUGGCUUGCAGCGCGAACUGGUCGACUUGAGUAUGCAGGAAGUAGGCGGAAUUCAUGGUGUAGCGGUGAAAUGCGUAGAUAUCAUGACGAACUCCGAUUGCGCAGGCAGCUUACUGUAGCAUAACUGACGCUGAUGCUCGAAAGUGCGGGUAUCAAACAGG